rnacentral:misc_RNA from 1 species
GAUGAAGAACGUAGCGAAAUGCGAUACUUGGUGUGAAUUGCAGAAUCCCGUGAACCAUCGAGUCUUUGAACGCAAGUUGCGCCCGAAGCCGUUAGGCCGAGGGCACGCCUGCCUGGGCGUCACACGUCGUUGCCCCCCCAUCUACUCCUUCGGGAUUGCGAGGGGCGGAUGAUGGCCUCCCGUGCGCCUCGUCGCGCGGUUGGCAUAAAUGCCAAGUCCUCGGCGACGCACGCCACGACAAUCGGUGGUUGCGAAACCUCGGUUGCCCGUCGUGUGCGGUCGUCGCGCAUCGAGGGCUCGAAAAAAUUGCCGGGCUCCGGCUCGGCUUUCAACGCGACCCCAGGUCAGGCGGGGUUACCCGCUGAAUUUAAGCAUAUCAAUAAGCGGAGGA